rnacentral:rRNA from 1 species
CCCUUAGAUGUUCUGGGCCGCACACGCGCUACACUGAAGGAGGCAGCGUGUACUCCUGGAUCGAAAGAUUUGGGUAACCCGCGAAUCUCCUUCGUGCUAGGGAUUGAGGUUUGCAAUUAUCCUUCAUGAACGAGGAAUUCCCAGUAAGUGCAAGUCAUAAGCUUGCGCUGACUACGUCCCUGCCCUUUGUACACACCGCCCGUCGCUCCUACCGAUUGAAUGAUCCGGUGAGGCCCCCGGAUUGUGGCAAUGGCUCUGGUUCGCCAGACCAAUGCUGCGAGAAGCUGUCCAAACCUUAUCAUUUAGAGGAAGGAGAAGUCGUAACA